rnacentral:rRNA from 1 species
UACAGAGGGUGCGAGCGUUGUUCGGAAUUAUUGGGCGUAAAGGGCGCGUAGGCGGUGCCACAAGUCACUUGUGAAAUCUCCGGGCUUAACCCGGAGCCUGCAGGCGAAACUGUGGUGCUGGAGUGUGGGAGAGGUGCGUGGAAUUCCCGGUGUAGCGGUGAAAUGCGUAGAUAUUGGGAGGAACACCUGUGGCGAAAGCGGCAUACUGGACCACAACUGACGCUGAGGCGCGAAAGCCAGGGGAGCAAACAGG